rnacentral:rRNA from 1 species
UUUGAGAGUUUGAUCCUGGCUCAGGAUGAACGCUGGCGGCGUGCCUAACACAUGCAAGUUGAGCGAUUUACUUCGGUAAAGAGCGGCGGACGGGGGAGUAACGCGUGGGUAACCUACCCUGUACACACGGAUAACAUACCGAAAGGUAUGCUAAUACGGGAUAAUAUAUUUGAGAGGCAUCUCUUAAAUAUCAAAGGUGAGCCAGUACAGGAUGGACCCGCGUCUGAUUAGCUAGUUGGUAAGGUAACGGCUUACCAAGGCGACGAUCAGUAGCCGACCUGAGAG